rnacentral:rRNA from 1 species
AAUCAACGCUGGCGGCGUGCCUAACACAUGCAAGUCGAACGCGAAAGGGGCUUCGGCCCUGAGUAGAGUGGCGAACGGGUGAGUAACACGUGGGUGAUCUACCUUCGAGUGGGGGAUAACGUCCCGAAAGGGACGCUAAUACCGCAUGACGUUCCGGGUUUAAAGACCUGGAAACCAAAGCCGGGGACCGCAAGGCCUGGCGCUUGAAGAGGAGCCCGCGUCCGAUUAGCUAGUUGGCGGGGUAAUGGCCCACCAAGGCGACGAUCGGUAGCCGGCCUGAGAGGGCGGACGGCCACACUGGAACUGAGACACGGUCCAGACUCCUACGGGAGGCAGCAGUGGGGAAUUGUUCACAAUGGGCGCAAGCCUGAUGACGCAACGCCGCGUGGGGGAUGAAGGUCUUCGGAUUGUAAACCCCUGUCGAACGGGACGCAAGACUCGCGAGCUAAUCAUCGCGAGAGUGACGGUACCGUUAAAGGAAGCCACGGCUAACUCUGUGC